GGGGAAUCUUGCCCAAUGGAGGAAACUCUGAUGCAGCGACGCCGCGUGAGUGCAGAAGGUCUUCUGAUCGUAAAACUCUGUCCUUGGUGACGAAAAAAAAUGACGGUAGCCAAGGAGGAAGCCCCGGCUAACUACGUUCCAGCAGCCGCGGUAAUACGUAGGGGGCGAGCGUUGUCCGGAUUUACUGGGCGUAAAGGGUGAGUAGGCGGUAAUAUGUGUCAGAUGUAAAAGGCUAUGGCUUAACCAUAGUUGGCAUAUGAAACUGUUCAGCUGGAGUUAAGGAGAGGGGAGUGGAAUUCCUAGUGUAGCGGUGAAAUGCGUAGAUAUUAGGAGGAAUACCAGUGGCGAAGGCGACUUACUGGACUGUAACUGACGCUGAGUAACGAAAGCGUGGGUAGCAAACA
rnacentral:rRNA from 1 species